CUUCAGGUCGGGGACAACAGUUGGAACGACUGCUAAUACCGGAUAUGCCGAGAGGUGAAAGAUUAAUUGCCUGGAGAUGAGCUCGCGUCUGAUUAGCUAGUUGGUGGGGUAAGAGCCUACCAAGGCGACGAUCAGUAGCUGGUCUGAGAGGAUGAUCAGCCACACUGGGACUGAGACACGGCCCAGACUCCUACGGGAGGCAGCAGUGGGGAAUUUUCCGCAAUGGGCGAAAGCCUGACGGAGCAAUACCGCGUGAGGGAGGAAGGCUCUUGGGUUGUAAACCUCUUUUCUCAGGGAAGAAAAAAAUGACGGUACCUGAGGAAUA
rnacentral:rRNA from 1 species